UCGCAGGUUCAACAGUGUGGCCACUCUUGAUUCAUAUACUCACAGGAAAGCCUCCAUCUGUCUCAUGGAUUAUAGAUCUAAAUUGAUGGCUUCAGUAACAGAUGCCAGAUACAGGCAGAAAGAUACUUCAGAUCAAAAUUUUGAUUACAUGUUCAAACUCCUGAUCAUUGGCAACAGCAGUGUGGGUAAAACGUCCUUCCUCUUCAGAUACGCGGAUGACACGUUUACACCAGCCUUCGUUAGCACAGUAGGAAUUGACUUCAAAGUGAAAACCGUUUAUAGGAAUGACAAGCGGGUGAAACUGCAGAUUUGGGUAACAGCUGCACAAG